GACGAACGCUGGCGGUGUGCUUAACACAUGCAAGUCGAACGGUAAGGCCCUUUCGGGGGUACACGAGUGGCGAACGGGUGAGUAACACGUGAGUAACCUGCCCUCAUCUCUGGGAUAACAGUCGGAAACGGUUGCUAAUACUGGAUAUGAGCUUGCAAGGCAUCUUGUGGGUUGGAAAGAUUUUUUUUGGUUGGGGAUGGACUCGCGGCCUAUCAGCUUGUUGGUGAGGUAGUGGCUCACCAAGGCUUCGACGGGUAGCCGGCCUGAGAGGGCGACCGGCCACAUUGGGACUGAGAUACGGCCCAAACUCCUACGGGAGGCAGCAGUGGGGAAUAUUGCACAAUGGACGGAAGUCUGAUGCAGCAACGCCGCGUGCGGGAUGACGGCCUUCGGGUUGUAAACCGCUUUCAAUUGUGACGAAGCUUUUUUGUGACGGUAGCAGUAGAAGAAGUACCGGCUAACUACGUG
rnacentral:rRNA from 1 species